AGUGAACGCUGGCGGUAGGCCUAACACAUGCAAGUCGAACGGCAGCACAGUAAGAGCUUGCUCUUACGGGUGGCGAGUGGCGGACGGGUGAGGAAUACAUCGGAAUCUACUUUUUCGUGGGGGAUAACGUAGGGAAACUUACGCUAAUACCGCAUACGACCUACGGGUGAAAGCAGGGGAUCUUCGGACCUUGCGCGAUUGAAUGAGCCGAUGUCGGAUUAGCUAGUUGGCGGGGUAAAGGCCCACCAAGGCGACGAUCCGUAGCUGGUCUGAGAGGAUGAUCAGCCACACUGGAACUGAGACACGGUCCAGACUCCUACGGGAGGCAGCAGUGGGGAAUAUUGGACAAUGGGCGCAAGCCUGAUCCAGACAUACCGCGUGGGUGAAGAAGGCCUUCGGGUUGUAAAGCCCUUUUGUUGGGAAAGAAAAGCAGCAGGUUAAUACCCCGCUGUUCUGACGGUACCCAAAGAACAAGCACCGGCUAACUUCGUG
rnacentral:rRNA from 1 species